GGCCCCGGGCGAACGCCGGCGGCGCGCUCACACACGCAAGCCGAAACGAAGCGCGACGGAAGCCCGCCUCCCCAACUCUACGCGGCGAAACGGGCGAGUCACGCGUAACCAACCCGCCCCUCAGCGGGGGACAACAGCUCGGAAACGACCGCUAAUACCGCAUACGACCUAACCUCGGCAUUCGAGGACGGACGAAAGGCGGCCUCUAUUUAUAAGCUAUCACCGAAGGAGGGGAUCGCGUCUGAUUCAGCUAGUUCGGAGGGGUAACGGCCCACCAAGGCGAUGACCAGUAGCCGGUCUGAGAGGAUGAACGGCCACAUUCGGGACUGAGACACGGCCCAGACUCCUACGGGAGGCAGCAGUGGGGAAUCUUUCCGCAAUGGGACGAAAGUCCUGACGGAGCAACGCCGCCGCGAGUGAUGACGGCCUUCGGGUUCGUAAAGCUCUGUUAAUCGGGACGAAAGGCCUUUCUUGCGAAUAGUUAGAAGGAUUUGACGGGUACCGGAAUAGAAAGCCACGGCUAACUACGUGCCAGCCAGCCGCGGUAAUACGUAGGUGGCAAGCGUUGUCCGGAAUAUUGGGCGUAAAGCGCGCGCAGGCGGAUCAGUCAGUCUGUCUUAAAAGUUCGGGGCUUAACCCCGUGAGGGGAUGGAAACUGCUGAUCUAGAGUAUCGGAGAGGAAAGUGGAAUUCCUAGUGUAGCGGUGAAAUGCGUAGAUAUUAGGAAGAACACCAGUGGCGAAGGCGACUUUCUGGACGAAAACUGACGCUGAGGCGCGAAAGCCAGGGGAGCGAACGGGAUUAGAUACCCCGGUAGUCCUGGCCGUAAACGAUGGGUACUAGGUGUAGGAGGUAUCGACCCCUUCUGUGCCGGAGUUAACGCAAUAAGUACCCCGCCUGGGGAGUACGACCCGCAAGGUGAAAAUCAAAGGAAUUGACGGGGGCCCGCACAAGCGGUGGAGUAUGUGAUUUUAUUCGACGCAACGCGAAGAACCUUACCAGGUCUUGACAUUGAUGGACAGAAACUAGAGAUAGUUUCCUUUUUUUCGGAAAGCCAGAAAAACAGGUGGUGCACGGUUGUCGUCAGCUCGUGUCGUGAGAUGUUGGGUUAAGUCCCGCAACGAGCGCGAACCCCUAUCUUAUGUUGCCAGCACGUAAUGGUGGGAAACUCAUGAGAGACUGCCGCAGACGAAUGCGGAGGAAGGCGGGGAUGACGUCGAAAUCAUCAUGCCCCUUAUGACCUGGGCUACACACGUACUACGAUGGGAGUUAAUAGACGAAGGCGAGGUCGCGAGAUGGGGCAAACCCGAGAAACCACUCUCUCGGUUCGAUUCGGAGAGCUGCAACUCGCCGACGUAAAGUCGGAAAUCGCUAGGAUUCGCGGGUCAGCGUGACUGCGGUAAGUCGUUUCCCGGGCCU
rnacentral:rRNA from 1 species